GUUUUUGUCUUUCGAGGUUGGGGCACCUACACACACACACACACACUCAAUGAUACACACACACAAAGCCGCACCCUCUGGAUGCAAUUGAGAACUCCAGAGAUUUGAGACAGGCAGGCUGGAGCAGAGGUAUAUAGCUAGGCAGGCACCCUGAGACUGGAGGAGCGUCGCUUUAAUCAAUGCAUGCAGCAGUGGCCAAGGCACGCCUAGGGCCAGGCAGUCGGACCUGAAAAACCAGCUGCUCAGAAUUACAGUUACCAUGCAGCGUGGCGUCCAGCCUCUACACAUACUCCACAGAGAAGCAACAGAAACCAUCCAACCAACCAACAUUCUGUUGUGUUUUGUCUUCUUCCAACACUCUUCGACGGAUUCCUGAGUGGACUAUGUCCACUGUGGCUGAGGGAGUGGGGGGCAGGUGCUUCUUCUGAGGCUCCUGGAAGAAACGUCUGGGACAGAAAAUCUGAGACAGGAUAUUGUUGAAGAUGACUUCAACUGUCUCACCUGUGACCAACUUUACUACAGUAUUCUCCAAUACCACAAUCACCACCAAGUCCAAAGAACAAAUACUCACUCAGAGUUCAGGGGCUAUGAUUGCUGUCAUUGUCAUCGGGAUCAUUAUCCUUCUAACCAUACUACUUGUCACCCUGAGGACAUACAACAGGCGGACACAUGCGUCCAGAGUGCUGGGAACAGGCUCCAAAGGGCCACCUCGACAGAAGAUGUCCUCUUCUACAGUGCAGACGAGCAUGCCCUUGGGGAGCUUUGCGCUGUCAAGUAAUAUGUCCGAAAAUGGAUUCCGGCUGCCCCGAGUGGAACUAAACAGCCUGGACCAAAACAACUUGGAGCAACAAAGCAGAAUCAGCGAUUCGACAGUAGUCACCAUACAUGAUACUCCAUCACUAGGGAAUACAUAGCAGGCCGCUAACGUAUUGGACAGGUGACAAAGUCAGCAUAUAAUGCUUGAAAAGAAACUCUUUAUUAUGAACAAAGUGGUGCUAUAAGAACGCAAUGAAUAUGCAUGGACACUCCUGUGGACAUAAACAAUUGCUUUCUUGACUACAGUGUUCAGAACAUGGACAAAAUUAUCCUGCUGUCUGUGCAUUUGCAGCUGUGCUACCAACAACCGUGAGGAUAAGCGUUGGAGGAGAGAUGUGUACAAGAUUUACGGCAUGAACAUGGUAUCAUGUCUAGUUUUUCUGUGUGCGUACAUUUCUGUGAGGGACUUGUUCACAGGGUUUUACAUUUAUUCACAUUAUUCUGAUGUAAGAUUAUUAUUCUUUCUUUUUUAUCUGAAUAAUGUUGUUGUGGUUUUCAGGAAAAAUCAUGAGAAUGUUUCUGUGAAAAGUCGAUACUGGUUUGAAUCCCUGUGGAGAUCUAGAUAGCAUACAAUUAUGAAAUAAUAAGUCCCAAUUAGUUUGAUUCCAAAGGAUUUUGCACUUUUCACUCACCCUAUCCUGUGAUUAUUUUUGCUUGUGGUUAUUUCAUUGAAAUAAAUAUUGAAAAUAAAUAUUGAUAUUUCUAAA
ensembl:lncRNA